UCUUCCUCUGCACAGGUUUUGAUAAAUCUCCCCCAUAGUUUCGCUGUGGUGGAGAACUUCCAGAGGCAUCUACUACACAUGCGCUGCUCGUUGAACCCUAUAAACUACACUUCCCAUAAUGCAUUUCCAUGGAAUAAUUCUGAGUAUAAGACGCGGGGAACUGAAACUUCAACCCCAGUUUCCGCACAUGACAGACGGCGGGCGCUCGGGGGUCACCAGAAAAAGGUGAAAUAUAGGAGGACGCCCGCCCCCCGCCCCUGUUUACUCUGCACAGACUGAGCACGGCAGCAGCGCCUACAUCCGGGGCUGUGUCCUCUCACGGGAGCAGUCUCUCUGGAUUCGAAGGGUUUGCUGUGACUUGUCGUUCCACUGGAGACGAUAACACAUUUGUUAGGCAGGUCUAGAGCAGUGGGAGUGCACUGUAGUGUAACACCUAGAAAGCCCACAGGUUCUGCUGCCAGGCAUAAGAAUAGUGGGGUCAUAGGAAGUAUGGUGGGUGGAGGACAAGUAAUGUAUCACUAUAGUGGACAUAGAAAGGGAAUGUACUAGACCUGAGGAGAUGGACAGGUGAGGAGUGUCCUGUGUUGUAGAAGGGCGCAUGUAUAUGGCAGUUUUAUUUAAUUGGUGCAUACCACAUAAUGGAGACAGAUAAGAUUUGGGGGGCACAUUGGGAUGGCAGGGGUGAUGGUGAGGAUGAGGCUUCUUCUGGAGAAGACCCUGAGAAGAGCUCUAGAGCCCAAGAAAGGAACAGAGAGAAGAAAGAAGAGUCUAGAGCCCAGAAUACAAAGAACAUGGACAUCCAGUCUAUUCUGGGGGCAGUGCAAGAGAUAGAACGGGAGCUUGGAGAACCAUUAGAUUGGGGCAAGGACAGAAACUCAGCUCAGGUUGUAACGAAGGAGCCCAAAGUGUCCGGCUAUGGAGAGAGGAAUCGGGAAAGUCACCGUCAGGGGGAUGGAGAAUUUCAUGGCGUUAAUGAUAAAGAUGGGCGAUUGGUUAGUAGUGAGGUAGACAGGGCUGUCGGCGACUGUGAGGGUUAUACUGGGGAUUCUUUUUCCAAAAGGAUGGCCAGGGAUCUAUUUAGAGAGGUAGAUCCUGAAGAAUGUCUUCUCAGCAGAGACACAAGAUGGUCUGGGCACGGUGAGGGGGAAGGAGACACAAGUCAGGUUAAUAUUAAGGAUCUGACUGUACAGGGAGGUUUACAUGGAGCCUGCGGACCAAAGGAGCCCAAAGCCAACAUGUCUUCUGAAGAUUGUGCAGGUGCAGCUUGCUGGGCGGCAGUCUGUCCGGAGGGUAGUAUUGUGGAUUACUCCUAUGUGGACUUCAGUACUAAUGAAUUCAUGGCGAUAUGUGAUUUUGUUGCUGCUGAUGACACGCAGCUUAGUCUUUCUCAGGGAGACAAGGUGUUUCUUCUUAAUGUGGUGACAGAAGACUGGUGGUGGGUUGAAUAUAAUGGUCAGUGUGGCUAUGUACCAGCUACCCAUUUGCAUGGAGUAUACAAUAAAGAGGAUUCUUACAUAGAUGACCCAUGGCAGGAUGAAGAAUAUUAUGGAAGCUACAAAACACUGAAACUGCACUUGGAGAUGUUGUCUGAUGAGCCUCGUACACAGGCAUAUAGAAACGUCAUAAUACAAAACAGCACAGCCCUGAAGGGCAAACGUAUCCUUGACCUGGGAUGUGGAACAGGGAUCAUAAGCUUCUUCUGUGCACAGCUGGCAGAGCCUGAGAUUGUUUAUGCAGUAGAAGCAAGUGAGAUUGCUGAGCAGACAUGUAAACUGGUAGAAGAGAAUGGAUUCUCAAACAUCAUCCAAGUUGUGUGUCAGAGGGCAGAAGAAUUGCAGUUACCUACCAAGGUUGACGUCCUGGUGUCUGAAUGGAUGGGAACCUGUUUAAUGUUUGAAUUCAUGCUGGAAUCCGUUCUCUUAGCUCGUGAUCUGUGGCUGAAGGAGGAUGGCGUGAUGUGGCCAAGCACUGCUCGUAUCCACCUGGUGCCAUGCAGUGCAGACAAAGUGUAUGCUUCUAAAGUCCAUUUCUGGGAAGCUCCUUAUGGCUUCAACUUUAGUGCCUUGAAGCCUAUGGCCAUACAGGAGUUUUUUUCCAGACCAAAACCUGAUCAUGUAUUAAAACCAGAGGAUUGCCUGUCUCAGCCAUGCACCUUGCUAAAUGUCAAUAUGAAGACACUAAACAUAGAAGACCUAGAGAGAAUGAACAACGAGUUUCAGUUCCAUGUGGAUCGUGAUGGCACUUUUCAUGGAUUUACUGCUUGGUUCAGUGUCCAGUUCCAGAAUAUUGAUAACCAAGAGCAGGUGGAGUUAAAUACUGGCCCCUUCAAUCCGUACGCUUACCCACUGGAAGCACACACUCUUCAUACUGGACAAGCCUCUGCAAGUGCACAUGGGUGAUAAGAUCACUGGCUCUGCAGUAUUCAAGAGAAAUCCUACCUGGAGACGUCAUUUAUCGGUCACUAUAAUCUGGUCUGUUACUAGUUCAUCACUGACAAAAGUGCAGGAUGGUUGCAAAGUAUUUCCCAUUUGGAGAUGAUUUGAGAGAUGGUAUUUAACACCAUGUGAAAUUUAAACAAGUAAAAUAUACUUCAUGGACUGUGUAAUGUGUGAAUAGUCUAAAAUAGCGUUUCCCAACCUUUUUUGGGUCGGGGCACACCUCUGAAAUUUUUUUUUCCGCGGGGCACCCCUACCGAGGUUGACUAGCAAGAAAAAAAAAAGAAAAACUUAAAUUCCUAUGCACACUGCAUAUAUGCAUAAUGACUGUCACUGCAAUGUAGAAUUGGUGGCGCAAAAAAUAAGCCAUCAUAUGGAAUUUUAUGGGCAAAAUUGAAAGAGUUAUGAUUUUUAGAAGGUGAUGAGGGAAAAAAUGAAAAACCCUGCUUCCUUAAGGGGUUAAAGACCCGUUAAGAAAUCCCUUAAAGAAAUCCCAUUCAAGUCUAUUGGAUUUUUUUAUUAUCAGUUAUCACCCGUUAUGAAUAACUGAUGUUAUUUGUGACGGGAGAAAAAACAUUACAUGCACUAAUUUUUUUCCCCGUUACAAAUAAAAUAGACUAUUCCUAACGAGUGAUGACUGAUAAUCAAAAAAAAUAUAUAUAUAAUAAAUAAAACUUGAAUGUGUGUUCCUAAUGGAACAUUGUAACAGGUCUUUAAAACGGAGCAACAUAUAUUGUGAAAGGAGCCUUAGAUAGCUGUUGGCCAAAUGCUCCAAGCCAUAGACCUGUACACUCAAGUAGGUGUGCAUGUGUCCUGAAUGUGAAGAGGAGUAAAGAGUAAACUGCUGCUAAACAACUUUUGCGGUAGCUUAUCUU